UACAUGGGGUGCAAACGUUGCUCGGAAUCAUUGGGCGUAAAGCGCGCGUAGGCGGCCAACUAAGUCAGACGUGAAAUCCCUCGGCUUAACCGGGGAACUGCGUCUGAUACUGGAUGGCUAGAGGUUGGGAGAGGGAUGCGGAAUUCCAGGUGUAGCGGUGAAAUGCGUAGAUAUCUGGAGGAACACCGGUGGCGAAGGCGGCAUCCUGGACCAAUUCUGACGCUGAGGAGCGAAAGCCAGGGGAGCAAAGCGGGG
rnacentral:rRNA from 1 species